AUACUCUGAUUUCUCUUCAAACGUAUAAAUCUUUCGCCUUUUACUAAAGAUUUCCGUGGAGAGAAAUAAUUCUGAGUUUUUAUUCAAUUUUUUGAAGUCUUGCGCUUGCAAGACU